UGUCUGUUCGGACAAGCGGAUUAAAAGGGAAUCAGGUGAAAUUCCUGAACAGUCCCGCUGCUGUAAGCUCCUUCAACUCUUCGGAAAUAGCUUAUGCCACUGAUAACUGAACAAUAUCGGGAAGGCUCCGGAGAGGGGGUAAGUCAGAAGACCUGCCAUCGUACAA
rnacentral:ncRNA from 1 species